AUUGAACGCUGGCGGCAUGCCUUACACAUGCAAGUCGAACGGUAGCAGGUCUUCGGAUGCUGACGAGUGGCGAACGGGUGAGUAAUACAUCGGAACGUGCCUAGUAGUGGGGGAUAACUACUCGAAAGAGUGGCUAAUACCGCAUGAGAUCUACGGAUGAAAGCAGGGGAUCGCAAGACCUUGUGCUACUAGAGCGGCCGAUGGCAGAUUAGGUAGUUGGUGGGAUAAAAGCUUACCAAGCCGACGAUCUGUAGCUGGUCUGAGAGGACGAUCAGCCAUACUGAGACAGAGACACGGCGCAGACUCCUACGUGAGGCAGCAGUGGGGAAUUGUGGACAAUGGGCGAAAGCCUUAUCCAGCAAUGCCGCGUGCAGGAUGAAGGCCGCCGGGUUGUAAACUGCCUUUGUACGGAACGAAAAGCCCCGGGUUAAUACCCUGGGGUCAUGACGGUACCGUAAGAAUAAGCACCGGCUAACUACGUGCCAGCAGCCGCCGUAA
rnacentral:rRNA from 1 species